UUCAUUACCUAAAAUCUCAAACAACUCUUUAUGUGUCUAAUCAAACCACAGAGCUUGGUUCUACAAUCCAAGCCUUCUCCCUACUCUUUCUCUUUCAUUUCUUCACACUAUUCCUUCUUACUUCUUUAUCUCUCUCUUUCUUCUUUCAACUUCUUCUUUGAACCCAAAUCUUACUCUCAUCUCUUUACCAAACAAAAAUCAAAAGCAUGGUUCAAAUUGAAAUCAAUAAGGAGCAAAGGGGUACCAAUCGAAAUAGGGGAGACAACAAAGACUACGACAUUUCCAGCGGUGUUCAGUUUCACUAUGGUAGAUCUGUGAUGGAGGCAACGCUUUUUCGGCAACGAUUUGGGUGAUGGUCGGAUUCAAAAUGGUGGAUGUGACUUUUUUUAGUUUUUGUGCAAGCUUCUGUUUUAUGACUUUUUUGUAGGUUUUUUCUUAUAUUUUACAUCAAUGAUUUUAUAACUUUGGAAUUUUUAUGUUUUUAUGAAGUUUUGAUCUUGAUGGAUGAAGAUGAGGACUUCAUUGCAAAGCUUUCAGAUUUUUGACAGUUGGUGUUCUAUAAAGAGAGUUAUUUUAUUUUAAUAAUAACCAUUAUUGAUGUAUUUAUAUUUAUUUACAGAUCUCUCAUUUUGAGAACAACAACUAUGGUGUUUCCGGCGGUUUUACGGCGGUGUACAGUUUCACAAUGGUAUAUCUUCUUCCUUCUCUACCUCUUUCGCUAUCUCUUUUGUUAUUUCGGUAUCACACCGAAACAAGAUGGUGUUCGAAUCGGUUUACGUUUGUCGUUGUUUUCAAUGUCUUUACUUCAUUCCUGAUUUAUGUGAUGUUCCAGACAAGUUGUAACUUAUCUCUUAUUUGUGUUUUUGGAGGAUUCAUGAGAUUAAGUCUGGAUCGAGUUUUAUCGCUAUGGUGAAGCUAACAAGACACCACAGAAGGCUUGAGCUUAGAAGUUAUUGAAUCCAAAAUCUUGAAGUGACCGCAGAAACUACCUUUUUAUAUUUUUUUUCCAUGAAUGCAGUUAGACAAUGGUGAUAUCAUAUGCUUUCAUAAAGCUUCUGCAAUGGGUAACGGGAGGAAUUAAAUAUACUGUUAAAGCUUCAUUGGUUAGAGGAUUGGUCAAAACUUUCUCGAUGUUUGCAUAGGUUCAAGUGAUGGAAUUGUUUUUGUAUGAGAGGUUUUCAGAUUAGUCAUAAUUUGGCUUGGGGAACAAAGACAUAAGCCCAGCAGAGAAAAUGAUCUCUUUAUCUGAUGUUGUGAAGGAGCAUUGGACAACCUAUGGUAUAAAUUUAAAUGCUUAGGCUAUUGUUGGUCUGGGUUGAAAGUUAAAUGAUAUUCUGAUACUGGAAACUGUUUUUACAGCACUCAUUUAUAGCUUAUUUCGAAAAUGGUGUUUGAGAGCUAUGCCUUGAAGCAACUUGUGGUGGGCAGCUUGAAAGUGAGAUGGAAGAUCAAUAAAACCAUCAUACAUUAUGUAAAUAUAACUUAUUAAAAAAGAAUUCAUUUUAGUUUUUUGGUACUAUAAGAAUUGAAUGUUAUAAUGUAUCUACA